UGCGUAGGCUGAAUAGUCAGUCAGUGGUGAAAUCCUACAGCUUAACUGUAGAACUGCCAUUGAUACUGCUAUUCUUGAGUACAGUUGAGGUAGGCGGAAUGUGUAGUGUAGCGGUGAAAUGCUUAGAUAUUACACAGAACACCGAUUGCGAAGGCAGCUUACUAAACUGUUACUGACGCUGGGGCACGAAAGCGUGGGGAGCGAACAGGAUUAGAUACCCUGGUAGUCC
rnacentral:rRNA from 1 species